GCUCGCUAUUUCGACACAAACAAACGAUAUGGGUCUAGAAACAUCUCUCCUCUGUUCCAUCGAAACUUAGGUGAACUCUUUGAGUUCUCCUUCAGAAUUUGAAGAAAACCAUUUCGGAUUUAUUUCUUAUAUUGCUUUUGUUCACGAGAAGACAUGCAGUAACGUAGUUGUGAACUUGUGAUCCUUUUAUAUGUCAAUAACUUGCUGAUCAUACGGAUGAUGACAAGAUGGUUGAAGAAUCUAAGAGGUACUGCACUAAAAUUUCAAGAUAAAAGAUCUAGAAGAGUCGAAAUUCUUCCUUCGAAUUGAAUUUGCCGGGUUAUAAUAAUAAAUCUGAUGUAUCAACAUAUGUAUGCUAUCAUAAAUCUUAAAGCUGAGGUUAGAACAAUGAGAUUACAGAUUAAAUUGACGGUAUCAUAUAAAACUAACAGGUAAUCCUUUAGAGCUCAAGUUGAAUUUCGCAAGUGCUAAACUUGACGAGCACACAGGAAACAGUGUAAGGUUCUAUAGAAUGCUGGAGUUGCCAUAGAUUGAUUGGCAUAAUUGUUAUAGUCAUAGUGUAUAAUUGUGUUGUCGAGUAUUAGAUUGUUACUCAGUGUAUAAUAAUUGACAUGAGGUUGUUUCCUUUGUUUAUUUAAGUUGAUAGAUGUAGUAGUGCGGGACAUA